rnacentral:rRNA from 1 species
AUCCUGGCUCAGGACGAACGCUGGCGGCGUGCCUAAUACAUGCAAGUCGAGCGGACAGAAGGGAGCUUGCUCCCGGAUGUUAGCGGCGGACGGGUGAGUAACACGUGGGUAACCUGCCUGUAAGACUGGGAUAACUCCGGGAAACCGGAGCUAAUACCGGAUAGUUCCUUGAACCGCAUGGUUCAAGGAUGAAAGACGGUUUCGGCUGUCACUUACAGAUGGACCCGCGGCGCAUUAGCUAGUUGGUGGGGUAAUGGCUCACCAAGGCAACGAUGCGUAGCCGACCUGAGAGGGUGAUCGGCCACACUGGGACUGAGACACGGCCCAGACUCCUACGGGAGGCAGCAGUAGGGAAUCUUCCGCAAUGGACGAAAGUCUGACGGAGCAACGCCGCGUGAGUGAUGAAGGUUUUCGGAUCGUAAAGCUCUGUUGUUAGGGAAGAACAAGUGCGAGAGUAACUGCUCGCAACU